UUCAUCUCUGGGCAGAAUCCGCACGAAGCUCUUAACGGUGACCGUUAGGAGUUAAGUCUCAUCAGAAAGUUGUUGGAGUGUCUUUUUGUCCCUUCCUAUGAGUUCCAGAGAUCACUGUUUUGUUCCACAGAACCCGUGUGUCUACUCACCAGCAGAUCUACCAGGGUUGUAACUUCCACACAAAAACACCUGUGACCCCCCAGCUGCUGAUCAGAUGGUACAGCGCUCUCUGCUGGUCACUGUAAGAAUUACACCUGUACCAGUGUCAGACCCAGGAUGCUUUGCCGUCUUUGUCAAUGAGCCAUGUUUGUUUUUGUCAAUCCAGACCAAACUACUUGAGGAAUGUAGUUAGGGUUAAGGC